rnacentral:rRNA from 1 species
UACGUAGGGGGGCAAGCGUUGUCCGGAAUCAUUGGGCGUAAAGAGCGUGUAGGCGGUCCGGUAAGUCGGCUGUGAAAGUCCAGGGCUCAACCCUGGGAUGCCGGUCGAUACUGCCGGACUAGAGUUCGGAAGAGGCGAGUGGAAUUCCCGGUGUAGCGGUGAAAUGCGCAGAUAUCGGGAGGAACACCUAUGGCGAAGGCAGCUCGCUGGGACGUUACUGACGCUGAGACGCGAAAAGCAUGGGGAGCAAACAGG